UGUACUUACGGCAUUUGCCAUGUAGAAGUAAUAGCACCAUAUUUUUAUGCCCGAAGACUCCCUGAAAGUCACGAACUCUACACCUAUAUACCAACAACACCCAGCCUACGUAGGACUUACCAACCGAAACUUGAGAAUUCACCACAAAGGGACGAACUUAUUCGCUCCAGUCUCAUCGAAAAUUUACCAGAAUUUCGGUUCCUAUCAGAUGCUACAGGAGUUCAGCCUAGCCCAUAUAAGUGAGUCGGUAGUUUGUGUUUAUCUCGUCAGUUGUUUUCCCAGUUGAUAAGGAUGAUAAAUAUAUGCUGGAUUUAUUUCUUCACAAGAAUCGAAACACCAAGAAAACGAGAAGGUGGUCCAACAUCCUCUGUACCAAAAGCAAUAAGAUAUGAUAAUGUAAACCACUUUCUUCAGGAGUUUUCACAAGGUAGAUGCUAUGUAUGCAAGAAAAACACACGUCUGAAGUGCAUCAAGUGCGAGAAAAGACUUCACAAGGCGUGCAGUAUCAACUUCCAAAAGAAAUGAUUGUCAAACUACUUUUCAGAAUUUGAAUGUAAUUGCUUAUUUUGAUAAUACUGAUUAUAUAUAUAUAUAUAUAUAUAUAUAUAUAUAUAUAUAUAUAUAUAUAUAUAUAUAUAUAU